rnacentral:rRNA from 1 species
UCCGUAGGGUGCAAGCGUUAAUCGGAAUUACUGGGCGUAAAGCGUGCGCAGGCGGUUCUAUAAGACAGAUGUGAAAUCCCCGGGCUCAACCUGGGAACUGCAUUUGUGACUGUAGAGCUGGAGUGCGGCAGAGGGGGAUGGAAUUCCGCGUGUAGCAGUGAAAUGCGUAGAUAUGCGGAGGAUCACCGAUGGCGAAGGCAAUCCCCUGGGCCUGCACUGACGCUCAUGCACGAAAGCGUGGGGAGCAAACAGG